GAGAGAGAGAGAGAGAGAGAGAGACCAAGAGUGGUCGGGCCAACCACCAAGAAAGAAAAAGAGAGAGAGAGGUAGCCAUGGAAACCAUGGAAAGAGAAAAAGAAGAAGAAAUCAAGAAGAAGAAAAUCUUUAAAGGUAUAAAAAUCCUAACCUAAGCUUUGUGUAAUUUUUUUAAUGGUUUUGAUGAAAUAAAAAGUUAUGAUCUUGAAACUCAAAAAACUUAGAUCUACAUGUUAAUAAGUAAUUUAUGUAUAGAUCUAACCAUUUUGGGUGUUAAAAAGUUUGAUCAAAAGAAAGAUAUGUAAAGAACCCUUAUGGAAAAAUUUUUGGACUGAGUUUGAGGCUCAUUUAUGGCUAUAUUUUGUGUUCUGAAAACUUAGUUUGAACGGAGUAUUUUGUUUUUCUAUUAGUUAUGAAAAUAAUCCAACUUGAAUGAACCAAAUUAGAGUUCAAAUGAAUCCGUGGUGAAAGUUUUAGUGAAACAUGCUAAGAACAUGAAAAAUAUAAUAUAAACUUUGAAUUUGGGUCAAGAUCUAAUUAUGUUAAUGUUUCUGAAAUUUGUUGAAUUUUUGAUAUGUUAUAUUUCUAUGAGUUAGGAGUCCAUAGGGUCGAAAACGGACUCAUUUGGAUGUGUAUAGAUCGAGUUAUGAAGAUCGAGAGGAGAAAGGGUCGGAUUUUUCAAAAACAGAACAAAGUUAGAAAACUGCAAAUUAACCUACUGUUAAGCUGCGCCGUAGCACCACAAUAUAUACUGUGUGUGGGCAUCACAGCUCCAACAAAGGAGUUAACUAAAUCCCAGUCGCGGCGCGACAGCGCCGGUCACAAAGGCAGUCUGGGCGAGGCAGCGCCAGACACGUGACCAACGAGAAUCUGGUCCUGGCGGCGCAGCGCCGGUAGUCUGCCAGGCCUAGAAAGGAAAGAUUUUAAGCAUAGCCCUAGUGGAAUUAAUCCUAAUUAAUUUUAAUUAAUGUAAUACACUUAAUAAGGUAUUAUGGGAAGCUUUAAAUACUUAAUUUUAUGUUAAAUAUUACUUGAAAGAUAAAAGUUUAAAGAAUGAUAUAGAAGUUAAUUUAAUUAUGAAUGUAAUACAUUUAAAAAGGAUGUAAUGUCAAACAAUGACGACUUAACCAAACGUUAAAUGUCAAUUAAAGAGAGGUACAAUAGGAGUUAACUUAAUUAACGUUAACGACCAUAUACGAAAGCAAACUUUAAAUGAUUAAUAAUAUUAUUAAAUGAUUAAUAAUGUUAGUAUGUGAUCAAAAUAUUAUUAAAUGAUUAAUAAUAUUUGUGAAUGAUUAAAAUAUUAUUCAAUGAUUAAUAAUAUUUAUAAAUUAUUAAGAUAUUAUUAAAUGAUAUUAUUAAAUGAUUAAUAAUAUAUAAGGUGAAUAAGAUAUUUUUUAAUGAUUAAUAAUAUUAUUAAUGAUUAAUAAUAUUAAGAAGUGAAUAAAAUAUUAUUAAGUGAUUAAUAAUAUUAGAUAAUGAGUUGAAUAUUAUUAAAUAAUUAAUAAUAUUAGUAAGUGAUUAAAAUAUUAUUAAAAAAUUAAUAAUAUUUAGAAAUGAUUAAGAUGUUAGUAUGUGAUUAAAAUAUUAUUAAAUGGUUAAUAAUAUUUGUAAACGAUUAAUAUAUUAUGUAGUGAUUGUUAGUAAGUGAAUAAAAUAUUAUUAAGUGAUUAAUAAUAUUAGACAGAAGUUUUAAGAUAAUAAAGUGAUUGAGAUACUAUCAAAGGACGAUAAUACUACUGAUGGUUUAAAGAAUUAUCUGAUGCUUGAUUAUGUGAUUGAGAUAUUAUCAAAGGACGAUAAUACUACUGAUGGUUUAAAGAAUUAUCUGAUGUUUGAUUAUGUGACUUAAUGCUAAAUAAUUUAUUUUAAGAAAAGUUAAAUUAUGAGAUAUGAUAUGAUAUGCUAAUGGAAAGAUCAAAUCUUAUAAAUGACAGGUCUUUAAUAAGAGAUUAAAUUAGAUUGCGUAGCAGUAAUCGAUGGUCAAGGCAUGUUUCCUAACUCAAACUCGAGUUAUUAUGUUUUAAGCAUGCUAGUGUAUUAAUUAUUGACAAUUAUUCCACAUCUAUGAUUAUUGUUUUUCGCACUUAGUGCAAGUUUGAUAUGUUUAUUAGGUAUGAAAGGCUGAUCACAUUGAUUACCAAAGUAUUUGUUCAUGGUCAUUGUUGGCUACUCAGCGUUAUGGAUUCAGUUAUUCAUUUAUUGAAAUUUGAUUCUCAAUCUUUCACAAUUGUUAUAUAUUGUUGAAAAUUUAAAAAGCUAUAUUCUUUUCUAUAAUUAUGAUAUAUCUUUAUUGUAUUUAAACUUGCUGAGCAACUAGCAAAGUAGUUGCUCACCCUUGCUAUAUCAUGACAAUAUUUCAGAUAAGCCAAAGUUCUUCAAGAAGGUCAAAGGCAAAGGAAGAAAUCAAGAGUAGUUGAAUAUACGUUUAACUACAUUGUUACCUAUGCAAAUUUUUAUGUAAACCUUUUGGAGUAAUUAAGGUAUAUGUAUUCAGUUAAGGUUGAUAGAUCUUGGGAUUGAUGAAGAAAUUAUUAUAUUAAACAAAUUAUGUUUAUAAUUCCGCAUUAGUUUAUAACAUAUGUAUGAAAAUGUUGUAUUGUGACACACCAGGUCCG
rnacentral:lncRNA from 1 species